GUGUAAAGCUAACAUGCAUCGCAAAAAACCAAAGGUAACCUAAAUGUCUGAUUUUAAUAGCACAUAUUUCUCUUUUACAUAAACUGUGACAGCAACUUGCAUAAACAAUUCUUUAGCUGUUAAUUUUAAUGUUAAAACUUUGCAAAACUUGUUUAAUAAAAAUAGCUGUAAAAAGAAGAACCAUAUGCUGCCGCAUAAAUUAGCCAUAACUCUUAAUAAUCCUGCCCAUCACAAGUGAACUGUAAUGUAACCUGGGCACAAAGUCUGACAUCUUAAAUGACACAUUGUAAAAUUUCAAUGACUGUAGUUUAGAUCUGCUGCUCCCCAAAGUAAAGCUUUCUGCUCAGCUAUUUUAAAAUGUACAAGGAUUAUCCCCUAUUAGGUCCCCGUAUUGAUAUUCACAAUGAAAUGUUACUUAAAAUUUCUUUAAAGUUGCAUGUUUCUCUCCUGUAAUGUGUAAACUGCAUGCAGGAUCUCUAUCUUUUAUUUUGUAUGUCUUUAAAACUUCCUCUUCAAAAUACUGAUCUCUUACUUCUCCAUUUUCAGGUGGUUGAAAAGUCCUGAGGCAUUUCCCGGAAUAGAAUGGGUAGUGAAGACCCUUGUCAGGUAUGUUAAGGUGGUUUUCUGUUAAGGAUAUUGGACUUUUAUCCUAACUGUAAAAUGGUUGUGCCAGGUGGUUUAUGCAUAUUAUAGUACAUUUCAGUACCUAAU
rnacentral:lncRNA from 1 species